UUGCCCAUCUUGCUUUAGUGCCUUUUUUCCGUCAAGUUAAUUGUGCUCCAAGGUGUAGUCCAAGGUUGUUUAAGUAGUAGUACUUCUAAAGAGUGAAUCACUCAAGUCAUGCCUGAAAAACAAGAUUCUGGUUCCUUUUUGAACUUUCUUUAACAUAAACAGUCAAUCACAUCCAUUGCUUUUGUGUAGGAAUCUCCCCCUUCCUUAAAAAAGACUGGCGAGGCAAUUAUCAGUUAAGGUGACGUAGGAAGAGGUGAUAACUAGGGAGAGGUAGAGGUGAAGUUAAUAGGCAGAGGUGGAGGUAAUAGGCAGAGGUAAAGCAGAGCUGUCAGUCAAAGAGCUGCUAGCUGGCUAGAACCUCUGGCCAGCCAGCUACUUUCAAGCCUGUUAAUCAUAAGUGCUGAUGAAAAUUUAUAUGAUCAUCAAAAUACCAUCAAAGAAAUUUGCACAGGAGCUACUUCCUAGUUUUAGUAGAAUUGUGUGGAUAGUUUAAAACUUAUGGGUUUAAAUGCAUGAAAUGAUUCCAUGUUCAGAAUUUGUGCAAAGGCUCGUGCCAACUUCCUGGUUUGUGUUUAGUUCCCUGUUUUCCAAGUAGUCUGACAAAACAUAAUAGCAUACACAAAAAACUACCUGCCCGCUAUUUCAUUAUAGUCCUCUACUUCCAAACCAAUUGACAGCCUUGCUAAAGUCAAAGGAGACUGAUAAUAGUGUUGUUAUAAUUAUGGUAAACUUUUGAUGGCUGAAGAGAAAUCCUUAUUUGCUUCAGUAUUUAACUGAAUAUUUAUUCAAUACCAUUUUUAAGGGAAAAAAGAUCAAAGCAUUUGGUGAAACAAAGUUUGGGAAGUUUGUUUUCAGCAUCACAAGAUGCAUAUGUUUUCGUCAUCCAUCGUACUUCCAUUUGUUUAAACUACGCAAUAAUUUAAGUAACAAUAAUUUAUUAAUAUGUAUGAUAUGAAAGAACAGAAGACGUUAGUGUUAAAUGUUCAGCUGAACAAGUAGUAUUGUUAUGAAACCCAAGUAAACAAUACCCAUAGAAUCAUUCAUUCUAUGUUGAUACUGGACUUCUUACUUGGAUAGUCAUCCAGUCAUUUUGAAGCUAAUUCUAGCUCAGAUAGUGACUUCAUCAAGAUGACUGCCAAUAUAGAAGAUAAUCAGAAAUUAUGAUAGAGACUCACUGGAGUUGCCAAACAUUUUCCUGCUGGAAGUGGAAUAGAAGGAAGAGAGGAGAUUGAGAAGUGAUUGAUUGAAAGAAAAGAGUGUGAAAUAAGAGCAGAAAUAGCAAAGGGAGGCAGGGAGGUGGAGAAAGCCAGAUGGUGGCAACAAUGUCUGGAAGCAAUGAGAAGACCCUUGCAUUUUUGGGAGAACUCUCUGAAUUCUAUGAGCUUCCUGUUGCACAACCAACAGCUCUCACAACCAAGUCAGCUCCUAGAUAUUUUUACAAGGGGUAUAAAAGAGUAGCAUGGUUGAGGAUUUCAGCAGAGAACCCAUAGGUCAUGGCACAAAUGUACCGGUGAAGACGAUGCACGCAGUGUUUAUCAAUUUUGUGGAGUGUAUUGUCAGGCUGAUUUGGCACAACUUAUCAUAUUGCCCAUUGUGUAGGCAUGGCUCUUUUCCUCAAGGCUUUAUAGAAGUGAAGCCCAUCGUUGUCCAAGGAGUGAAUCACCCGAGCCACGCCCUUGAGAUAGGAUUCUGAUUCAUCUUAACAUUUCAUGUCGUACCAAUGGGGAAUCACGUCUGUUACCCAUGAGUGGGAAUUUCUUCCUCCUUUUCCUCGGGAAAGGUUGACAUAGGGUAUAUAUUUUCACCAUAAAAACAACCUUCACCAUAAAACAAUCAUUAUUGUCUAACCUGGUGAA